UACGUAGGGGGCAAGCGUUGUCCGGAAUUAUUGGGCGUAAAGGGCGCGUAGGCGGCUUGGCAAGUGGAAGGUGAAAUCCCUCGGCUUAACCGAGGAACUGCCCUCCAAACUGCUUGGCUUGAGACCGGGAGAGGUGAGUGGAAUUCCCAGUGUAGCGGUGAAAUGCGUAGAUAUUGGGAGGAACACCAGUGGCGAAGGCGGCUCACUGGACCGGUACUGACGCUGAUGCGCGAAAGCGUGGGGAGCAAACGGGG
rnacentral:rRNA from 1 species